rnacentral:rRNA from 1 species
AACGAACGCUGGCGGCAUGCCUAACACAUGCAAGUCGAACGAGACCUUCGGGUCUAGGUGCGCACGGGUGCGUAACGCGUGGGAAGCUGCACUUAGGUUCGGAAUAACUCCCCGAAAGGGAUGCUAAUACCGGAUAAUGUCUUAGGCCCAAAGAUUUAUUGCCUUAGGAUGGGCCCGCGUGGGAUUAGCUAGUUGGUAGGGGAAAAGCCUACCAAGGCGACGAUCCAUAGCUGGUGUGAGAGGAUGACCAGCCACACUGGGACUGAGACACGGCCCAGACUCCUACGGGAGGCAGCAGUGGGGAAUAUUGGACGAUGGGCGAAAGCCUGAUCCAGCAAUGCCGCGUGAGUGAUGAAGGCCUUAGGGUUGUAAAGCUCUUUUAACCGGGAUGAUAGUGACGGUACCGGGAGAAUAAGCUCCGGCUAACUACGUG